UACGUAGGGUGCAAGCGUUUGUCCGGAAUUAUUGGGCGUAAAGAGCUCGUAGGCGGUCUGUCGCGUCUGCUGUGAAAACUCAGGGCUUAACCCUGAGCUUGCAGUGGGUACGGGCAGACUAGAGUGCGGUAGGGGAGACUGGAAUUCCUGGUGUAGCGGUGAAAUGCGCAGAUAUCAGGAGGAACACCGGUGGCGAAGGCGGGUCUCUGGGCCGUAACUGACGCUGGAGGAGCGAAAAGCAUGGGGGAGCGAACAGG
rnacentral:rRNA from 1 species